GAAACCCUGACGCAUCAACGCCGCGUGAGUGAUGAAGGCCUUCGGGUCGUAAAGCUCUGUCAGAGGGAAAGAAGUGUAGCAUGGUUAAUACCCAUACUACUUGACGGUACCCUCAAAGGAAGCACCGGCUAACUCCGUGCCAGCAGCCGCGGUAAUA
rnacentral:rRNA from 1 species